CCGGGUUGCUCAAAACACUGGUUAACUUUAACCACUGGUUAACUUAACCAGUGGUUAAAGUUAGUAUCCACUGGUUUACUAACCAGUGGUCAAAGUUGUGUUGCUCAAAAAGAAUUUAGCCAGUGGUUAACUAACCACUGGUUACUGUUGUUUAACCAGUGGUUAGUAUCCCACAAUGCACUUACUUUGUCCGUCUGUCAAACAUGGCUGCCAAAAAAAGAAGUGAGAACUUUUCACCCGAUGAAAUUUUAUUUAUAAUUGAACAAGUUGAGAAACAUAUCGAUAUCAUCCAAAGUAAACAGACAAAUCAGGUAACCAACGCAAAAAAAAAUGACUGUUGGAGAAAAAUUACCUAGUCUGUAAAUGCCAGGGGAGGUGUCUGUCGGACCAUCGAACAGGUGAAGGAAAAAUAUCGCAAAGCCUGUUCAAAGGCGAAGGGGGAGAGUGUGACCCAAAGGGUACACCAAAAAAAGACCGGCGGUGGACCACCGAAAGCCCCCCUCGAUGCGGUGUCACAAAAGAUUUUGGACCUGCACGAGGAUUCCCCUAACUUCACCGGGUUUGUCGGCGGUGUGGAGGUUGGUGGAUUGAUCAUUACAGAGGCACCAAACUGUGAAGACAAUGUGAAUGAGACUCUCGAUUCACAAAAUUCACAGACUUAUUUCAAGGAUGUCAAAUGUGCAAAUUUGCAUGAAAACACCACAGUAUCUCCAGAUGCAGGUGAGACAAUUAUUUAACUUCCACAAAACCAGUCAGGAACAGCUGUAAUAUAUGAUGUGGAAGUGACAGAAAGAGGGGCCAGGAUAAAUAAAAAAUCACAUUGUCAUGAUAAACAGAGGAAGAGAAAAUGUGAAGAAAAUGUAUCUGAUCUACAGAAACAAGUUCUACAAGCAGACCUGUGCAGAAUCAAAGAAGAGACUGAACUCAUUAAGCUGCAAAAAGAAAAAGUGUCACUGGAAAUUAAAAAACUGAAAUAUGAAGUUUCACAUUACAGUGUCCAAACAGAAAAUGAGGUGUAAUUUUAUGAAACACAUUAA